rnacentral:rRNA from 1 species
UACAGAGGGUGCGAGCGUUGUUCGGAAUUAUUGGGCGUAAAGGGCGCGUAGGCGGCGCGGUAAGUCACCUGUGAAAUCUCCUGGCUCAACUGGGAGCUUGCAGGCGAAACUGCCGUGCUGGAGUGUGGGAGAGGUGCGUGGAAUUCCCGGUGUAGCGGUGAAAUGCGUAGAUAUCUGGAGGAACACCGGUGGCGAAGGCGGCAUCCUGGACCGACACUGACGCUGAGGAGCGAAAGCCAGGGGAGCAAACGGG